ensembl:snRNA U6 U6 spliceosomal RNA
GUGUUUGCUUUAGCAGUACGUAUACUAAAACUGGAAUGAUACAGAAAAUAUUAGCAUGGCCCCUACAAAAGUAUAACACACAAAUUCAUGGAGUGUUUCAUAUUUUU